rnacentral:rRNA from 1 species
CCCAGACAGCCAGGAUGUUGGCUUAGAAGCAGCCAUCAUUUAAAGAAAGCGUAAUAGCUCACUGGUCGAGUCGGCCUGCGCGGAAGAUGUAACGGGGCUAAACCAUGCACCGAAGCUGCGGCAGCGACACUAUGUGUUGUUGGGUAGGGGAGCGUUCUGUAAGCCUGCGAAGGUGGCCUGUGAGGGUUGCUGGAGGUAUCAGAAGUGCGAAUGCUGACAUAAGUAACGAUAAAGCGGGUGAAAAGCCCGCUCGCCGGAAGACCAAGGGUUCCUGUCCAACGUUAAUCGGGGCAGGGUGAGUCGACCCCUAAGGC